GGAUGAAGAAGAUUAUGAUGAAGACAGAGGUGGUGAUGAAGAAGAUGAGGAAGAGAAAAGCUUCGAGGAGAUGGGAGAGACAAAAUAUCAGAUAGAAGAGGAGAAAGACGAUUCCCUUGUUGAUGAUUCACCAGUCCCUGGAGGUGAAGACACCUCCAAAGAAAAACAAAGAGAUUUCCUUUCUGAGUUGGGUCUGGAGAAGGGAGAUGAUGAGGAAGACUCAUGGGACACUGAGUCUGGCUCUGUCAGUCCCAGAAAACAGCAUGGCCGAGAUCCUGCGAAGGUGCCACGUGUUUCCAUUAUUUCAGGGGAG